rnacentral:ncRNA from 1 species
AAAUAAUUAUGUUUUUGGAAAUUUAUUAUAAAUUUAUUUUACAUAUAAAUUUUAGUAUAUAAUUUUAAUUAUUUAAAUAAUAAUUAAUUUAUUUUGGUAGUAAUUAAUAUUAAAAAUUUAAGAAAUUAAGAUUUAGUAAUAUAAAAAUUAAUAACUAAUUUUGUGCCAGCAGUUGCGGUUAAACAAAAGUUAAAUUAAAUUAUUUCAGUAUAUAAUAAAUAAUUAAAUUAUUAAAAUAAAUAUUAAAUUAUUAAGUGAAAUUUUAAUUUAAUUAAAUUUUAUUUUAAAGUUAUGAUUUAAUAAAUUUUAAUAUAAACUAGGAUUAGAUACCCUAUUAUUAAAAAUUUAAUUUAUAAUACUAAAAUAGUAAAUAAUAAUUUAUUGAAACUUAAAUAACAUGGCGGUAUUUUAGUUCAUUUAGAGGAAUCUGUCUAAUAAUUGAUAAUCCACGAAUAAAUUUACUUAAUUUAUAAUUUUGUAUAUCAUUGUUAAAAAAAUAUUUUUUAGGAAAAAUAAUAUUUAAAAAUUAUAAUAAAAAAUUAAAUCAGAUCAAGAUGCAGAAUAUAAUUAAGAAUAUGAUGGAUUACAUUAAAUAUAUUUAUAUGAAUAAUUUUAUUGUAAUAAAAAUUUGAAGGUGGAUUUAAAUGUAAUUUUAAUUAGUUUAUUAAAAUGAUUAAAAAUUAAAAUAUGUACAUAUUGCCCGUCACUUUCAUUUAAAAAUUGAAAUAAGUCGUAACAAAGUAGAGGUACUGGAAAGUGUUUCUAGAAAGAUCA